ensembl:lncRNA
AGAGCCUGGCACGAUGGGAGGUAAUUCCCACCUGGAAUUUGAGGCAUCUGGGCCCCUUGAAAGCUAAAAAAAUACUGUAGCCCCCAAGGAAGGAUUAUACCUUAUGGUGUUUUGAGACAUGCCCACGAGUGCUCUGAUCAUUUCUCUUGACAUGAAAGGGACUCUCAUUCUCCUCCUCUUGGAUUUGGCUGACUUUCAUGAUCCACUUCUAGUGGAUGGACUGUAGCAGAAGUUGUGUGCUUUCCAAAGCUGAGUCAUCAGAGGCAAUACGGUUUCCACCAGCUUCUAUGGUUGCUCUUGGAACCCGGCUGCCAGGGUGGGAGGAAGCUCAAGCGUCAUGGAGGCUGCGUGCAGGUGCUUCGCUGAUGGCCCAGCCAACGUCCUUGCUGACUGUGGAUGGCCAGCAGUGGCAACCAGACUCAUGAGGGGAGGCAUCCUCUAGAUGAGCCCGGCCACCAUCAGACUGCAGCCACAGGAGACCCCAGUCACCCCGGAACCAGGAGAGACGAGAAUAAAUGGUGGGUGGUGUUUUGAGCUGCCCGUCAGGGCUGGUUCAUUACGCAGCCAGAGUGAAUGGUACAUGUGUGCAUUCCUGAUCAUUUUCUAAAGAACUUCUGGGGACGGUAAGGAUCUCUGCUGUUCACCACUCACUUCUUCUGCUGGUGCAGUGACUCACCUGGGAUCAGUGUCUGAGGGGAAUAGACAAGAACGGUCAUGUUUCUCAGAUUCCCAAGUCUCCAGCUGGCCUUCAGUUUGGUGACCUAGAGGUGGCCUGAGGUUGCCUGCUGUUCUGACCUCAGCAGGCUGGGGAGCGAGGGCCUGUUCUGGAUCUGACUGCAGAGGGUCAUGGGUGGUGGAGGGAGAGGGCAGCUGCCUUUCUCCAUCCAGAUGAGAUCAUAGUGGUGGGGAGGCACCCUCCACACCAUCCCCCUGCUCUGGGCUCCUGGGGGUGGCUCUGCACACCUAGCCUUUUGAGGUGACCUCCACCCUCUGGUCUCUGCCUGGGGAAGGAGCCGGCUGGAGGGUUCCAGGGCUUUGGGCCUGUGGAGGGUGGGUCCUCCUGUGCCCAGGCAAGGGUCUUCUCUCCCAUCACCUCUUCUUAGUGGGACCACCAGCCAUUCGUCGGGCGUCUUCUUGGAGGCAGGGCUGGGCUCAGUGUGCUACCAGGAAUGGCUCCCCAUUUUCUUCACUGUCUCGAGGCAAAGUGUGAAAAUGCACAGGAGAGAACUUGGAAAAUCUUGUAAAGGUGUUGCUGAAGGUGGAAGGUACUAUUAAGGGAUUAGGAGGCAGUUACUGGUGGGGCAGAGGCAGCGCACCUGUGCGGCUGUUGUAUCGUCUCCAAAAACCUAAAGUUAGAGUCAUAAACUCUAAGUUAGAGUCAUAAACUCUCUACACUCAGGGCCUCUAAAAAAAUCACAGCCCAGAUAGUGCUUGAGUUCCCCCUGCAGCUUCUCUGGAAAGUAGUCAUCCAUCAUCUCCUUGGAUGGCCUCAGUGAUGGGAGGCUCACUCCCACCUCCUUGCAGAGGCCUUUUAUUCUCCUGGGCACUGGGAUCAUUGUAGUUGUCAUCCUUGUGCUGAACCAAAGUAGCCUUGCUUCUAGUCAUUCUAAGUUCUCUAGAAUAAAUCGCAUGCCUCUUCCACAUGCCAUGCCUUCAAAGUCAGCUCCAGGUCUUGCUGGUUGGGGUUUCUCCCUCUUUAGUUUUGCGGCUCGCCUCCCCCCAGCCCGUAUAUGGCAUGGUUUGGAGACCCCUGUCACCAGCCUGGUUCCCUUCCCAGCCAAAGGUUAAUCUCCUCUUCAGUUCUUAAAAAUCAGUCUCCUGUUACUGUGGCUGAACGGGCCGUGACGUUGGACCUGAUUCCAGCUGUUAGACGUGAUGAUUUCAGAUACACACCCAAUAUUCCUGAGCUAGGAUUUAAAGCCGUAGGUUCUUCCCAGGGACAAGGUGAAGGGACCACCGAGCAUUGUGGGGUGUCUUCUUGGAGGUAGGGUUGGGUCACAUGUUCUACCUGCGACGGCUCCUUCAUUUUCCUAAUGUGCCUGUGAGUCCGCCUUCCUUGGGCACCUGGGGGUGGGUGGCGGAGCUGCAGUUAACACCCCGCCUUGCCCAGCGCCUCCUCCCAGCAGCCUGCUCCUCCCUAAGCUGAACUGCGGGCAGGAACGUCACAUUGACUCACGGUUUCCACAAGCCCCGGUCCUUGCCUGCAGGUGCUGAACCUUGUGCAGACAGGCAGCAGGGCUGUUUUGUUCACUGUCCUUCCCCCAGGGUCUUGAUGAUGCCCACAAUGUCUCCAGUAUUUGUUGAUGUUAAAUCUUUGUCGAACACACGAUUGUGUGAAUGAAUGAAUCCUUGUAACUUCUCCGUGACACUUUUUUUUUUUUUCCAUUUUAUUUUGAAACAACAGCAGUUGUAAAACUAUAAGGGAAACUGUAACAGAUUCCAGCAUAGUCCGUCUGGGAAUUAAUAAGUAUUAACAUUUUUUUAUUUGCUUCUGGUCUCUUCCAUUUAUAAGGAAGACAAGGUUACAGAUCAAGUGGGCAUCCCCUUUAUUUGCCUCCUCCGGCCUUCCGCCUUCAGAAGCAGCCAUCAGCCUUAUUUUGGAAGUGGUUGGCCUGAGCUUGAUUUUUUUUGUUUUAAAUGAUUUUUAGUUUUUCCAUUAUAGCUGGUUUCCAGUGUUCUGUCAGUUUUCUGCUCUACAGUGAGGUGAUCCAAUCACACAUAUAGGUAUACAUUCUUUUUCUCACAUUAUUCUCCAUCAUGUUCCAUCACAAGUGACUAGAUAGAGUUCCCAGUGCUAUACAGUAGGAUCUCAUUGCUCAUCCAUUCCAAAGGCAAUAGUUUGCAUCUGUUAACCCCAAACACCCAGUCCAUCCCCCUCCUUCCCCUUCCUCCUUGGCAACCACAAGUCUGUUCAAGUCCAUGAGAGUCUUUUCUGUGCCAUAAUUAGAUUCCAGAUGUAAGUGAUAUCAUAUGGUAUUUGUCUUUCUCUUUCUGACUUAUUUCACUUAGUAUGAGAGUCUCUAGUUCCAUCCAUGUUGCUGCAAAUGGCAUUAUUUUUUCUUUUUAUGGCUGAGUAGUAUUCCAUUGUGUAUAUAUACACCACAUCUUCUUAAUCCAUUCAUCUGUCAACGGACAUUUAGAUUGUUUCCAUGUCUUGGCUUUUGUGAAUAGUGCUGCUGUGAACAUGCAGGUACAUGUGUCUAUUUCAAGGAGAGUUUUAUCCAGACAUAUGCCCAAGAGUGGGAUUGCUGGGUCAUAUGGUAGUUCUAUGUAUAGUAUUCUGAGGUACCUCCAUACUGUUUUCCAUAGUGGUUGUACCAAUUUGUGCUUGAUUUUUAAAAAUUUUAUCUUAUUUUUUUAGGGCACACCUGCAGCAUAUGGAAGUUCCCCAGGCUAGGGUUUAAUCAGCCUAUGCCAGAGCCACAGCAACACGGGAUCUGAGCCGUGUCUGUGACCUACACCACAGCCCACGGCAACACUGGAUCCUUAACCCACUGUGCAAGGCCAGGGAUCGAACCCACAACCCCAUGGUUCCUAGUUGGAUUUGUUUCUGCUGCUCCACAACAGGAACUCCUUACUAGCCAAAUAUUAUGCAGUAUUUUUCUCCACUCAUGAAUUUUUUGGAUCUGUGUACAUGUGCUAGUUCAUUCAUUUGAAGUGCUGUCUUGUCUUCCAUCAGCUGACUCUCACCCUUGCCAUUUAUUUUUCCACUCCCCAGUAACACAUAUAAUACAAGUGCAUUGUCUUCAGUUCCCCGCUCUGGGUAAUUAAUAGUCUCCUUACCUAAGUGUUCAGACAAGGAACCUUAGAGCCCGCUGUUAAAUGACCCAGCUAAGGUGUCACAGUUUUCACAGGCAGUGGAACCAGAGAAUGAGCCAAAACGGACCAUAUCUUCCCUCCCAGGCAAUCGUCUUUCUCACUGCUCCACAGUUAUCUCCUUUCAGGAAAAGGAGAUGAUAAAUUUGCAGGAAGUGUUAGAGAGUUUUAUCUUUAAAAAGCUCCAGGGAGAAAACGACCUUGUUUUGAGAGCAGUGUGAAGGUUUGAUGCCAGAUGGGGUCUCCCCAUGUGUUUCGAGGGCAGAGAACAGACCCGUGUGUGGCGGGAGGGUCACCCCCGACUUGGGGUCUUGUCCGUUGCCUUCCUGGGUGGCUUCCUGGGCAGAGACAGUGAGUGUGACAACCACCUUGAAGCUGGCCUUCUUUUCACAAGGGCAGCCAGACACUCAGGGGACUUUAUCUCCCAGCAUAGAGAGUCCCUGGGGGAACGGGACCACUUCUGUCCUUGGGGGGGAGGGGUGUCCGCGGGGGGUGGUCCCCGCAUCCUUUUUUUCCCAUUUCCACUGAAUAUAGUGUCACUGGAGAGCAGGAUUUGAAACCAGUUAACCUCAAAAGAGGCCAGUCAUGUCUGUCCCCAUUUCUCUUUGAAAAAUGAUGAAUGAUAAACAGUCCUCGAGGUUUACAAAUCUACCAAAAGACGGUCAAGGUUCUGAAACAAUGAGGACAUUCUUUUCCACGCUGAGGAUGGCACCAGGGCCUUGACGCCACCUGGCUCGGUCACUGGCUUCGGAGAGGGCCUGGGGCUGUUUUCGCAACUUCCCAGAGUUUCAGUUUCCUUGUCUUUCAAAGCAGAUGCUGUUGACAGUCACUUGUACCAUCAGACCAAGACUGACCAAUUGUGAGCCUCAGGGCCCCCCCCUCGCAGGAGCCCUUCCAGGACCUCCUAUCUCAUUUUUAUUCGUAAUUUGAUAUGCGUUUUUAUAAAGUGCAUCCCCCAAGUUGUGUAAGCUGUGGCCCCACAAGCCAUGGGUGGGCCUCCUGGCUCAUAAGGUGGUUGUAAAGAUACCUGUUGCAUAGUUAGCGCCGUGGUACUUGUGAGCUCAUUAGGAUGAUUAUUUAAUGAAUAGCAUGUGCCUUGAGUGUCACCCCAUGCCUGGAACCGCAUGGGGGCUCAAUUAGUGGCAGCCUCGGUUCUUCUGUUCUCAAGUUGUGCGGUGUUCCGGUUUCCCAGAGUCUCCAUCUUCAAGGAAAAUGUGAGAAGGACCCAAGAUACCUGCCCCUUUCCCCCGCUGCUACCAUAAAUUCUGUGUAUAAUAGAUGAAAAUCCUUUAAUUCCUUAAGAGUUUCCUGCCUCUUCUGUCUUUUCUCCAUCAUCUGGCUCACCUGGUCCAGUCGACCCUGUGCUCCAGGGGAGGCCAGCAGUCAGCCAGGUGGGGACACCACGAGGCUGCAUGUCAUCUUCUCCUGUGCUUUCUUCUCAUCCCAAAAGACUGUGAAGGAGUUCCCUGGUGGUGUAUAGUAGGUUAAGGAUCCAGCAUUGUCAUUGUAGUGUCUAGCCCGGAAACUUCAGCAUGCUGCGGGUUCGGCCAAAAAAAAAAAAAAA